rnacentral:rRNA from 1 species
GACGAACGCUGGCGGCGUGCUUAACACAUGCAAGUCGAACGGAAAGGCCCUGCUUUUGUGGGGUGCUCGAGUGGCGAACGGGUGAGUAACACGUGAGUAACCUGCCCUUGACUUUGGGAUAACUUCAGGAAACUGGGGCUAAUACCGGAUAGGAGCUCCUGCUGCAUGGUGGGGGUUGGAAAGUUUCGGCGGUUGGGGAUGGACUCGCGGCUUAUCAGCUUGUUGGUGGGGUAGUGGCUUACCAAGGCUUUGACGGGUAGCCGGCCUGAGAGGGUGACCGGCCACAUUGGGACUGAGAUACGGCCCAGACUCCUACGGGAGGCAGCAGCGGGGAAUAUUGCACAAUGGGCGGAAGCCUGAUGCAGCAACGCCGCGUGCGGGAUGAAGGCCUUCGGGUUGUAAACCGCUUUCGCCUGUGACGAAGCGUGAGUGACGGUAAUGGGUAAAGAAGCACCGGCUAACUACGUG